rnacentral:rRNA from 1 species
UGAGGAAUAUUGGUCAAUGGACGCAAGUCUGAACCAGCCAAGUAGCGUGCAGGAUGACGGCCCUAUGGGUUGUAAACUGCUUUUAUAUGGGGAUAAAGUGGGGAACGUGUUCCCUUUUGCAGGUACCAUAUGAAUAAGGACCGGCUAAUUCCGUGCCAGCAGCCGCGGUAAUACGGAAGGUUCGGGCGUUAUCCGGAUUUAUCGGGUUUAAAGGGAGCGUAGGCCGUUUGGUAAGCGUGUUGUGAAAUGUAGGAGCUCAACUUCUAGAUUGCAGCGCGAACUGUCAGACUUGAGUGCGCACAACGUAGGCGGAAUUCAUGGUGUAGCGGUGAAAUGCUUAGAUAUCAUGAAGAACUCCGAUUGCGAAGGCAGCUUACGGGAGCGCAACUGACGCUGAAGCUCGAAGGUGCGGGUAUCGAACAGG